rnacentral:rRNA from 1 species
AGAGUUUGAUCCUGGCUCAGGAUGAACGCUGGCGGCGUGCUUAACACAUGCAAGUCGAGCGAAGCAGUUAAGAAGAUUCUUCGGAUGAUUUUUAACUGACUGAGCGGCGGACGGGUGAGUAACGCGUGGGUGACCUGCCCCAUACCGGGGGAUAACAGCUGGAAACGGCUGCUAAUACCGCAUAGGCGCACAGAGCUGCAUGGCUCAGUGUGAAAAACUCCGGUGGUAUGGGAUGGGCCCGCGUCUGAUUAGGCAGUUGGCGGGGUAACGGCCCACCAAACCGACGAUCAGUAGCCGGCCUGAGAGGGCGACCGGCCACAUUGGGACUGAGACACGGCCCAAACUCCUACGGGAGGCAGCAGUGGGGAAUAUUGCACAAUGGGGGAAACCCUGAUGCAGCGACGCCGCGUGAGCGAAGAAGUAUUUCGGUAUGUAAAGCUCUAUCAGCAGGGAAGAUAAUGACGGUACCUGACUAAGAAGCCCCGGCUAACUACGUGCCAGCAGCCGCGGUAAUACGUAGGGGGCAAGCGUUACCCGGAUUUACUGGGUGUAAAGGGAGCGUAGACGGCAAGGCAAGUCUGAUGUGAAAACCCAGGGCUUAACCCUGGGACUGCAUUGGAAACUGUCUGGCUCGAGUGCCGGAGAGGUAAGCGGAAUUCCUAGUGUAGCGGUGAAAUGCGUAGAUAUUAGGAAGAACACCAGUGGCGAAGGCGGCUUACUGGACGGUAACUGACGUUGAGGCUCGAAAGCGUGGGGAGCAAACAGGAUUAGAUACCCUGGUAGUCCACGCCGUAAACGAUG